rnacentral:lncRNA from 1 species
AUAAUAAAUGCUUAUAUUUAUCUACUUCAAAAUUUGUUGCAGAUCUGUGAAAUACUAAGUACCCAAAAUAAAAUGCUGUCUUUUAUUAAAAGCAAAUUUCUCAUAGGUAUGAUUAAUUGCUUAGGCUUCAUUAUUAGUGAUUAAGAUAGGGGUUUUGCACUUUUCUGUUUUUGUUAUUUAGAAGCUCAGUUCAUUGAAGACAUAUUUGCAGAUUGUUUCACCAUUGCUUGAUACUUUUGACUAAGCUGAAUUUAAUUAAACUUUCUAUGGUUUCAUAUUU